AGUGAACGCUGGCGGUAGGCCUAACACAUGCAAGUCGAACGGCAGCACAGUAAGAGCUUGCUCUUACGGGUGGCGAGUGGCGGACGGGUGAGGAAUACAUCGGAAUCUACUUUUUCGUGGGGGAUAACGUAGGGAAACUUACGCUAAUACCGCAUACGACCUACGGGUGAAAGCAGGGGAUCUUCGGACCUUGCGCGAUUGAAUGAGCCGAUGUCGGAUUAACUAGUUGGCGGGGUAAAGGCCCACCAAGGCGACGAUCCGUAGCUGGUCUGAGAGGAUGAUCAGCCACACUGGAACUGAGACACGGUCCAGACUCCUACGGGAGGCAGCAGUGGGGAAUAUUGGACAAUGGGCGCAAGCCUGAUCCAGCAAUGCCGCGUGGGUGAAGAAGGCCUUCGGGUUGUAAAGCCCUUUUGUUGGGAAAGAAAAGCAGCAGGUUAAUACCCCGCUGUUCUGACGGUACCCAAAGAAUAAGCACCGGCUAACUUCGUG
rnacentral:rRNA from 1 species